rnacentral:rRNA from 1 species
CAGCAGCCGCCGCGGUAAUACGAAGGGUGCAAGCGUUAAUCGGAAUUACUGGGCGUAAAGCGUGCGUAGGCGGUGAGUUAAGUCUGCUGUGAAAUCCCCGGGCUCAACCUGGGAAUGGCAGUGGAUACUGGCUCGCUAGAGUGUGUCAGAGGAUGGUGGAAUUCCCGGUGUAGCGGUGAAAUGCGUAGAGAUCGGGAGGAACAUCAGUGGCGAAGGCGGCCAUCUGGGACAACACUGACGCUGAGGCACGAAAGCGUGGGGAGCAAACAGGAUUAGAUACCCCCGUAGUCCCUGUCUCUUAUAU